rnacentral:lncRNA from 1 species
AGGGCUUCCUCCAGUUUAUUUUGUCUUUCUACUGAUUUUCCACAAAUUGUGUCCCAUUUAUCCCUUAGUUCACUCAGCAUAUCAUCAAGCUUCAAAUUGUCAUCAGCCAAAGUGGUUUUCUCUUUCAAGGAGCGUCCAGUCCUGUUUGUGGUAUCGUACACAGAAUGUUUGGCACCAAGAGAUUUCUGGAAUUCCUUAUGCUGCGCAAGCUGCAUCUUUAUUUUGUCAGGGUCAUUUGCAAUUUCAAGAUCUGAGUCCAAAGAUUUCUCUGAUUCUUCCAGCCACUCCAUAAGUUUGUGCCAGGCUUCAUGGAACUGUUUGGCUCGUUUCCUUGCAUCAUCCAAAGCUCUUCCCCUUUCGACUAAGCGCUGAACUACUUUUUCCCAUCUACUUUGUACACUAAUCAGCAGAUUCUUAAUAAGGACUACAUCUUGUUUCUGGCUGAAGUAUUUCAAAUGGGUACCAGUUUUGUCCAGCUCUAUGAUCUGAUCUCG